rnacentral:rRNA from 1 species
UUUUGUUUUUUUUUUUUUUUCUGUUUUUCUUUUUCCCCUUUUUUUUUCUUUCGCCCUUGUUUUAUCAAAAACAUGUCCUCAUGAUUUUAUUUGAGGUUUGGCCUGCCCGGUGAUUUAUUUAACGGCCGCGGUAUUUUGACCGUGCAAAGGUAGCAUAAUCAUUAGUCUUUUAAUAGGAGGCUGGAAUGAAAGGUUUAACGAAAAAUUAACUGUCUCGAUUAUAAUUUUGAAUUUAACUUUUAAGUUAAAAGGCUUAAAUUUUGUUGGAGGACGAGAAGACCCUAUAGAGCUUUACAUCUUGCUUUAGUGAUUUUAUUCAGUUAAAUAAUUUAAUUUUAUUUUAGUGGGUGUUUUGUUGGGGUGACAAGAAAUAUAUAAUUAACUUUUAUUAUUGUGUUUUCAUUAAUUUAUGUGAAUUGGAUCCAAAAAUUUUGAUCAUUAGAUUAAGUUACCUUAGGGAUAACAGCGUAAUCUUCCUUCAGAGUUCAAAUUUACAGGAAGGCUUGCGACCUCGAUGUUGGAUUAAGAUAAUAAUUAGGUGCAGUAGCUUAAUUAAUAGGUCUGUUCGACCUUAAAUCUACAGAUCUUUCACGUC